AAACGAAUUUACGAACAUUUUGUCCCUUGCAGUACAACUUUCAAAAGACAUCUUCAUCAAGUAGGUAAGAC
rfam:Callithrix jacchus chromosome 1, whole genome shotgun sequence